UUAUUGCGUGAAGGAUGGAAAUGGCAUCCUUUUUUUUGCUGCCAUAUAUGGCAAAAAAAAGAUAUAAUGUACAGCCUGACCUUUA
rnacentral:sRNA from 1 species